AAGAUAACAAGUAAACCUCAAGGUCUUACAAAGGGGUCUAAUUACAAGUCCUUAGAGACAAUAUACAAAACUCAACCUCAGAUUCAGAAUUCUGCACCCGUUGCUGCUCCUAAAAAAAACGGUCAAGCGAAGACUAAGUGUUUCUAAGGAAUUUCCUUUUGAACAAACCCCAAUGAUUCUGAUCAAGCGAACAACAAAUAAAAAAAGCUGGAAAACAUGCUAAUGUUGAGGCAGCUAUCCCUGCUGAUGAUGAAUUGCUAAGGAAUUUUGUUGGCUGCUCUUCCUUAUCUGAAUUGGCUUGACAUAGAGUUUGUGGGCUCCUAUUCUCCAUCCGACUAUCAUAUUAAUGCUCUAUGUGUAGAUGCUACGUCCUAGACUGAUUUAAAAAUCAAUAUCCUAUGGUGAUGUAAUAUUAAAUUACCAAUUUGAACUUCUAAUCUGUUUGUAAUAAAAUCUAUGUAAUGAAUGGUACGUUGUUAUUUAAGGUUCUGUAGAACUACAAACAUCUCGUGUUGUAUCGAACGAUU